rnacentral:sRNA from 1 species
CUUUAGCCCUGAUCGCAGUGGAAAUCCUUUUUAUUUUUUCUUUAAAAAUAAAAAGAUUGAAAUGAAGAGCAGGAGUAAUG